GAUGAACGCUGGCGGCGUGCCUAACACAUGCAAGUCGAACGGAGCUGCUUUGAUGAAGUUUUCGGAUGGAUUUAAAACAGCUUAGUGGCGGACGGGUGAGUAACGCGUGGGUAACCUGCCUCACACUGGGGGAUAACAGUUAGAAAUAGCUGCUAAUACCGCAUAAGCGCACAGUUCCGCAUGGAACAGUGGGAAAAACCCCGGUGGUGUGAGAUGGACCCGCGUCUGAUUAGCCAGUUGGCGGGGUAACGGCCCACCAAAGCGACGACCAGUAGCCGGCCUGAGAGGGUGAACGGCCACAUUGGGACUGAGACACGGCCCAAACUCCUACGGGAGGCAGCAGUGGGGAAUAUUGCACAAUGGGGGAAACCCUGAUGCAGCGACGCCGCGUGAGUGAAGAAGUAUUUCGGUAUGUAAAGCUCUAUCAGCAGGGAAGAGAGUGACGGUACCUGAAUAAGAAGCCCCGGCUAACUACGUGCCAGCAGCCGCCGUAA
rnacentral:rRNA from 1 species